rnacentral:rRNA from 2 species
UACAGAGGUCUCAAGCGUUGUUCGGAUUCAUUGGGCGUAAAGGGUGCGUAGGUGGCGUCGUAAGUCGGGUGUGAAAUUUCGGAGCUUAACUCCGAAACUGCAUUCGAUACUGCGGUGCUUGAGGACUGGAGAGGAGACUGGAAUUUACGGUGUAGCAGUGAAAUGCGUAGAGAUCGUAAGGAAGACCAGUGGCGAAGGCGGGUCUCUGGACAGUUCCUGACACUGAGGCACGAAGGCCAGGGGAGCAAACGGG